UCUAAGCAACAAUAUCCAAGGGGCGGGGCUUAGCGGAAAGGUUCAUUAUUGAUGUGACAGUGUGUUUUUGCAGUCCCUAUUUUAGCAUUAGUUCCAUUCUACCACAUACCAUUGUUUAUACUAAUUGCAUUUGCGGACUACAUUUUCCAUCAAACUGCCCAAUGACCACUAACCACAAGGUUGCCCAAUUGGUUUAUUACCCUGAUGAGGGAGGAUGCCUCAUCACUAUAUUCAUACCACCUCAAGUAAAUAGCUCAUCUCAUGUUAAGGGAUUAAUAGAGGGUGCAUUAAUACCCCAAUCAAGGGUGUCUGGUAAACAGGCAGUUUGUUUGGUAAAUCAGUCAGUUUUUCAUAAGUGUGUUUCAUUACUGCUGCAAACUCCAAUGGAGUAAGACAGUAAUCACAUCUCUGAAGUUUUGUCAUUCUGAAAGGUUAUUCAGAUUGUAAUAUCGUACAGUACCAUACCGUACAUUGAUUGGUCAUUGGUGACUAUAGUCAGCUUGCCCGGUGUUUGCUAGGGGUGAGUCGAUUAGAUAAAUUAUAAUAUGAUAUAUCCGACGAACAUUUAUUAUUUCCAUUUGGUGAUUGUUAUAUUACUUUGUGAAUUGCCUAUAAGUGUUAACGGAUUACUUUAGUGCUAUGAUUACUCUUUACUGUGUAAUACUUUAUGCAUUAUGAUAGUAAAUGAUUUCCUAUUAAUUUUAAUGUUACUUUUAUAUACUGUACUUAUAUAGUUUGUUUAUUAUAUCAAGUCUUAAUGGCUUAUGUAUUCUUCUAUGAUCUUAUUAAUUGAUUGAUGAUAAAUAAUUUGUUAUUUCACGUGUGAAGCUACCUGCUCCUGUGUUAUUAAUACAAACUUAUUUGUUCAUUGUUUUAGGGUUUUAGAUUUAGUUUUGUUUCGCUUUGCCUUUUGUUUUGGAUACUUACUCCACAGAAAUAAAGAACCUGAAGAAUGCUA